rnacentral:piRNA from 1 species
UAUAAAUAAGAGAUGUACGUCUAUCU